CCCUGCUGGACAACGCCAUGAGCAAGAAGCCGCAGGUGGUGCAGAUCGAGGCGAGCGACAAGGCGUUCAAGACGCACGGUUGCCAGCCCUGGCAAUACACCGGCGGUGACGGCACCGCACCCGCUGAGCCGCCCGGACCCGCGGCAGGUGCGCAACUGCAGACCAAUCUCGACAUCCUCAACGGAUUGCUCGGUCCGAUCGGCGAGCGAGUG
rnacentral:ncRNA from 1 species